UACAGGGGGGGCAAGCGUUGUUCGGAAUUACUGGGCGUAAAGCGUGCGCAGGCGGUGAUGUAAGACAGAUGUGAAAUCCCCGGGCUCAACCUGGGACCUGCAUUUGUGACUGCAUUGCUGGAGUGCGGCAGAGGGGGAUGGAAUUCCGCGUGUAGCAGUGAAAUGCGUAGAUAUGCGGAGGAACACCGAUGGCGAAGGCAAUCCCCUGGGCCUGCACUGACGCUCAUGCACGAAAGCGUGGGGAGCAAACAGG
rnacentral:rRNA from 1 species